rnacentral:rRNA from 1 species
AACGAACGUUAGCGGCGCGCUUAACACAUGCAAGUCGCACGAGAAAGGGCUUCGGCCCCGGUACAGUGGCGCACGGGUGAGUAACACGUGGGUAAUCUUCCCUAUGGCGGGGGAUAACCUUCCGAAAGGAGGGCUAAUACCGCAUAAGACCACGGCUCCGAAAGGAGCUGAGGUUAAAGCUGGCCUCUAUACAUAAGCUAGCACCAUAGGAUGAGCCCGCGGCCCAUCAGGUAGUUGGUAGGGUAACGGCCUACCAAGCCUAAGACGGGUAGCUGGUCUGAGAGGAUGAUCAGCCACACUGGAACUGAGACACGGUCCAGACUCCUACGGGAGGCAGCAGUGGGGAAUCUUGCGCAAUGGACGAAAGUCUGACGCAGCGACGCCGCGUGGGUGAUGAAGGCCUUCGGGUUGUAAAGCCCUGUGGGGAGGGACGAAUAAGUAGAAGCUAACACCUUCUAUGAUGACGGUACCUCCUUAGCAAGCACCGGCUAACUCUGUGCCAGCAGCCGCGGUAAGACAGAGGGUGCAAACGUUGUUCGGAAUUACUGGGCGUAAAGCGUGUGUAGGCGGCUAUGUAAGUCGGAUGUGAAAGCCCCGGGCUCAACCCGGGAAGUGCACUCGAUACUGCGUAGCUUGAGUCUCGGAGAGGUUGGUGGAAUUCUCGGUGUAGAGGUGAAAUUCGUAGAUAUCGAGAGGAACACCGGUGGCGAAGGCGGCCAACUGGACGAAGACUGACGCUGAGACACGAAAGCGUGGGGAGCAAACAGGAUUAGAUACCCUGGUAGUCCACGCCGUAAACGAUGGGUGCUAGGUGUCACGGGCAUUGACUCCCGUGGUGCCGUAGCAAACGCAUUAAGCACCCCGCCUGGGAAGUACGGCCGCAAGGCUAAAACUCAAAGGAAUUGACGGGGACCCGCACAAGCGGUGGAUGAUGUGGAUUAAUUCGAUGCAACGCGAAGAACCUUACCUGGACUCGAAAUGCAGUUGCCGCCUUCAGAGAUGGAGGCUUCCCGCAAGGGACGGCUGUAUAGGUGCUGCAUGGCUGUCGUCAGCUCGUGUCGUGAGAUGUUGGGUUAAGUCCCGCAACGAGCGCAACCCUUACUCUUAGUUGCUCGCCCGCAAGGGAAGCACCCUAAGAGAACUGCCUCGGAUAACGAGGAGGAAGGUGGGGAUGACGUCAAGUCCUCAUGGCCUUUAUGCCCAGGGCUACACACGUGCUACAAUGGCCGGUACAACGCGUCGCCAACCCGCAAGGGGGAGCCAAUCGCAAAAAACCGGUCUCAGUUCGGAUUGCAGGCUGCAACUCGCCUGCAUGAAGCUGGAAUCGCUAGUAAUCGCGUAUCAGAACGAUGCGGUGAAUACGUUCCCGGGCCUUGUACACACCGCCCGUCACAUCACGAAAGUGGUUUGUACUAGAAGUCGUAAUUCCAACCGCAAGGAGGAUAGCGCCCAAGGUAUGAACCAUGAUUGGGGUG